UACGGGGGGAGCAAGCGUUGUUCGGAUUUACUGGGCGUAAAGGGCGCGUAGGCGGUAGCACAAGUCAGUUGUGAAAUCUCCGGGCUUAACUCGGAAAGGUCAACUGAUACUGUGCGACUAGAGUGCAGAAGGGGCAACUGGAAUUCUCGGUGUAGCGGUGAAAUGCGUAGAUAUCGAGAGGAACACCGGUGGCGAAGGCGGGUCUCUGGGCCGAUACUGACGCUGAGGAGCGAAAGCGUGGGGAGCGAACAGG
rnacentral:rRNA from 1 species